CCCUUAGAUGUUCUGGGCCGCACGCGCGCUACAAUGACUCACUCAGAAAGUUUUUCCUGAUCCGGAAGGAUUCGGGUAAUCUUCAUAGCAUGAGUCGUGUUAGGGAUCGAUCUUUGCAAUUAUAGAUCUUGAACGAGGAAUGCCUAGUAAGUGCAGCUCAUCAGGCUGUACUGAUUACGUCCCUGCCCUUUGUACACACCGCCCGUCGCUCCUACCGAUUGAGUGGUCCGGUGAACCUUCUGGAUUAAGCAGCAAUGCUUGAGAAGUUAGGUAAACCUUAUCACUUAGAGGAAGGAGAAGUCGUAACA
rnacentral:rRNA from 1 species